UCCUACGGGAGGCAGCAGUGAGGAAUAUUGGUCAAUGGGCUAAGGCCUGAACCAGCCAAGUCGCGUGAGGGAAGACGGUCCUAUGGAUUGUAAACCUCUUUUGUCGGGGAGCAACGAGGCCACGUGUGGCCGAAGUGAGAGUACCCGAAGAAAAAGCAUCGGCUAACUCCGUGCCAGCAGCCGCGGUAAUACGUAGGUGGCAAGCGUUAUCCGGAUUUAUUGGGCGUAAAGGGAACGCAGGCGGUCUUUUAAGUCUGAUGUGAAAGCCUUCGGCUUAACCGGAGUAGUGCAUUGGAAACUGGGAG
rnacentral:rRNA from 1 species